AACUACAGCAACUACAUAGAAACCUGAUGCAGCAGCUUUAUUUCCUUAUUCAGCAGCCUCUCUGAUCUGUCCUGCCUCGUCUGACAGCAUGUUCUCACGCUGCGUUUUCACAUUUUUGUGCCUCCACCUGAUCGUUUCCAGAGCUGGCGCUCUCUUCGGUUAUGGUUUGAUUCGAUGUCAGUUCAAUUCCGUCCAUGACGCCGUCUACCUGGAACAGCUCUACUUCAACAAAGUCUUCCUGGGCCAGUUCAACAGCAGCGUGAUGAGAUUUGACGGCUACACCAACUAUACAAAGGGCAUUGCCAACUUACUAAACAAAAACCCUGUGUUUAUAAAACAAGAGAAAAAGAACGUUUUGAAAUGCACCAGCCACGUAGCCAAUCUGCUGGACAGCCUUUCAAAAACAGUCAUUAAACCCUACGUCAGGUUGACACUCACUGAGGUCAAAGGCAGCAGUCAUUCACACAUGCUGGUCUGCAGCGUUUACAGCUUUUACCCCAGAGACAUCACAGUGACAUGGCUGCAGGACGGAGAGGUGGUGACAGAUGACGUGACAACCACUGGCACUCUGUCCAACGGCAACUGGCUUUACCAGAUUCACACCCAUCUGGAUUUUACGCCCAAGUUUGGACAGAAGUUCACCUGUAAGGUGGAACAUGCCAGCUUCAAGAAACCCAGACUUUAUGAGUGGAAUCCCAUGUCUCAGUCCGACAGAGAAAAGAUGGCUGUUGGGACAGCAGGGAUGGCGCUGGGCUCUGUGUUUUUAGCUGUCGGAGUGAUUUACUAUCUGUGCAACAAGAAUGAUCGUCAGUUGGUGCCAGGAGGUUAAUAAACUAUUGCCCGUCACCUGACAUGAAACACUGACUACAGGAGCAGCUGCCAUCCAAACAUACAGGACUGAGGAGUGAAGCUGGGAUGUGAAGUAAAAAUCACAAAAUUUAAAUUUCUUACCUCUUAAAAUCUCUAACGUUCUGUCACUGUACAGAGGUCUUUUUUUGGUUUUGUAACAAUAUUUUAUUCUAUAGGUUUUUAAUAAUGUGGUCACAAUCUUAGAACACAUAUUAAAUGCUAAAUGUUGCACUAUAAGUUAAGGAAUUUUAUAUAAAUUUAAAAUAAUAAUGUUCUCUGUAUGUAUAUUUGUAUUGAACAUUGAAUAUGUUGUAUAUAUAAAACUGUAUAUUAUUUUUACGAUUAACUUGUGACACUUGUGGCGCAAUAACGGUUGGGCUGUGAUAUUAUUAUGGCAGGAUAAUUACCUUUCCAGAAAAUGCCGUAAACUGAUGACCACAUGGUCAGUGAAUGUACUCAUAUAUAUUUUUAUAUAAGUUUCUUGAAAAGCAAAACACUUAGUUUAUUAUAGUGUUUAUUAUAUAGAACAACAAUGCUUGUUUUUUUUCGGAUUAUACUGAUUAUUUUCAGUUACUUUUAUCUUGACCAGCUUACGUCAGUUACAAACAAAUUAAUAAAUCAACCAUUCACAGAUUAUCUCCAGAAGAGGAAGUACAAACACAGCGUCGUUGUGUGGGACAUACAGUAGAUUUAACCGCAUUCUAUCUAACUUUAUUCAAUGAUAAUCAGUUAUAACAAACUGCGUUUAAAAAGGGAAACAAAGAAAGUACAGUCUAUCAUAACGUCUCUCUGGAAAUGACAGUUUUUUUUGUUUUUUUUUUAAAACAACUAAGUAGUUUUUAUCUUUUUGGUAUCAUUUUUGAAAUCCAAGCAUUUUGGCCAGAUGUAGACUACUGUACUAAAAUGUCCUGGACUAAAAAGCUGAAAUAUUUCCUCUGUU